UUAGGGUUUUCUGCUGAAUUUAUUAGGAACAUUUAAGAGUUGUUAGGCUGCCAUCGAAAUGCUCCAUCUCCACGUAGCGAAUAGGAAAAUCACUGCAAAGUCACGAAAUAAAAUAUAAGAAAUAAAUGUGAUAAAAAAUUAUAAAGAAGAACAAAACUUGUCGCCUUGUAUUGCGAUUGUAAAAAUUUUGUUGUCUUUGUUCCUAUUCUUCAAAUAGUUUCACUCUUCCCAGCAGGGGCCACUGGUUCAUCAGCAUCUACUUUCUUUAUUUGCUUUAAUGUUUCCACUCCUUAGAGUAUUUUUCGGCUCGUUUCCUUAAUUUAAUUCGCCCGUUAACAGCUCUGUCUUGUUCAAAUUUUAGUACCACGACUUGAUUAGUAUUUGUGUUACCACCAUAAAAAUUUUACUGUGCAUUUAUUGCGGGUUGCAUUGUUUUCAGUAAGUAUAUUAACUGAAUCAAAUUACCAUGGGCGUUAAGUGAUUGUAAAGUGAUAGAAAUUUUGAUGCUUGGACCAGAGAUUAGUAGUAAUCUACUAAUCUCUGCUUGGACCAAACAAAAUAGUGGCUAUGACUUUCGCAAGUUUCCUCAAGUUUCUCCUGGUCUUUCAAUUAUUCCUUCAAAUAAGCCUCUCGACCGAGCCAGGCGAGUUAUCCGUUGCAAAACCGAGAUGGUACCAUCUUCGUUGUGUUGAAUGUUACCGGCCAGAUACCAAGGGACAAGCAUGUGUGAAGAUACCAAAGUGCAUCAAAGCUCCUAAAAAGAAAUUAAUAAAUCCGUUUCACCACUGGGCGUCUUAAGCUACAGAGUACAGAAGUGUGUACAUAUUUAGCGGCUCUCAGAUGCAAUUAGUUCUCACUUCCGGCGCGCGAUUCUCCUUUAACAAUUUGCAAAAAACCCGCCCAGAACUUUAAUACAACCUUAUUAUUCUUAA
rnacentral:lncRNA from 1 species